rnacentral:rRNA from 1 species
AAAUUGAAGAGUUUGAUCAUGGCUCAGAUUGAACGCUGGCGGCAGGCCUAACACAUGCAAGUCGAACGGUAACAGGAAGCAGCUUGCUGCUUUGCUGACGAGUGGCGGACGGGUGAGUAAUGUCUGGGAAACUGCCUGAUGGAGGGGGAUAACUACUGGAAACGGUAGCUAAUACCGCAUAAUGUCGCAGGACCAAAGAGGGGGACCUUCGGGCCUCUUGCCAUCAGAUG